rnacentral:lncRNA from 1 species
UGAAAAUUUUAAAUUUUGUAUAUUUUUGAAAAUUAAAAAUUUUAAUUUUAAUUCAAAUUUAAAUUUAGAUUUUAAAUUAUUUUAAAAUAAAAUUUAAUAAAAAUUUUAAUUUAUGCAAAUACAAAAAAAAUUUGCCAAACAGCUUUUUAAAAUCAUUUUAGAAAAAUCACUUUUUUCUAAACUACACCAAACGCUCUACAGCUUUUAACCAAAAUCACUUCUCUAACCAAAAUCACUUUUUCCAAAAUCAUUUUUUCAGAAGCUAGGCCAAACAGGCCAUAAAAAUAUGUU